rnacentral:tRNA from 1 species
GCUCCUGCUGGCCGCGCUGGCGGGCUGCACCGCCUACGAUGUGGUGGACAUCAUGGAGAAAAAGCGCCAGCCCCUGGCCCGCUACCGGGUAGAGGCC